ensembl:lncRNA
GAGCCACCAUUCAAACUUUAAAACGAAGACAAGACAUUCAACUAUUCAACUUGUAUUUAUCUUUUCAAUAUCUAUUAUACUUUUUCUUCAGUUCCAGUUUAAGUUUCAUGAUGUUUUUUCACCCGUUUCAAAAUUUAUAAUGGGUGUGUAUGGGACGGAAUGUUGGGGCUAGAGUGAGACAGCUCAACUGCUAGAGUGAGAGGAGCAAAAAAAUUUAUCUUAAAAUCUUUUUUAAAACUGCUGCUGUGUCCGCAGCGUUUGCUCUACAGGUAUGAUUUUACCCUCAAAACGUAGCCAUCGCUGUCCUCUUUCAUCCAAUGUGUUUACUAUUGUACUAGGUGUUAUGGUUCUUUCAUAAAUGUCACCAAUGCACAGCCUCCUCCCUCCAACUCUUCCAUAGACUCUAAUGUUAAAAUGGCUCAGAAGGUUCGUUUGAAAAUCAGAAGAGCAUGGUGUCUUUCCACUGUCACCACGUCCAUAUAAUAAACUCCACAGGCAUGAAAACUGAGAAUUCAGUAGACUAGAAGCUGCUGUCGCUCACGGUGAAAGAAUUUUGUCAAUACGACUUUUACUUUUCAUUUGGGAACGAUUUGUUUCGGCCUGACUUUUCUGUUCAUUUUAAGCAGCAAAAGUGAGGCGCAUGUCUGUGUACGUGUGUAUGGAGCCAUUGGGUGCGGUCACUAUAGCAACCAGGCUCACACCUGCCUGCUUAACGAGCUCUGCCUGCCACUGUACCAAGAUUCAUCUUAAACACUUCUCUUUCAACUGCUGCUGUGUCCACAGUGUUACAGCCAUCAUUUUACCCUCAAAUUGUCGCCAUUAUUGUUCUCUUUCCAACACCGUAUCUUUCAAAGCUCAGGCAUUUAAACUUUUUAAACUGUGUGGAUCAAAGUGGAGGGAUCACAUUUGAGUCAUUCAGUGAUUCAAAGAAUAUGACCUUUUAAUAUUCAUUCAGAUGUUUUCUGACUCUGAAUGUUCUUUUCUCAUUUCUUAGGGUUUUCUAAUUUACAUUUAAAACAUUUUCAGUUUUUUUCCAACUCCUUCUUCUGUGUAACCUUCAGCUUUUAGCAGUUCAGCACCUUUGUUUUCAGGUUAAAUUCGUUUUUUUUUUUGUUUUUUUUUUAAUCUCAUUCAAUAUUUUUAACUCAAAAUUCAGCAAUUAAUUCAUUUCAGUGCAUACAUUCAGAUUCAAGCAUUCACACUGCAGUUUCUUCAGAAAAUGCACUUUCUAGUUAGUGUGAAUGCUUGAAAAGCAUUCACAGUAUUGUUCUUCUAAUCUUUAUUAUUAGUGUGAAUGCUUGAAAAGCAUUCACAGUAUUGUUAUUCUAAUCUUUAUUAUUAUUAGUGUGAAUGCUUGAAAAGCAUUCACAGUAUUGUUAUUCGAAUCUUUAUUAUUAUUAUUAUAUAUUCCGUACGUUUUUUGGCAUCUCACUCCUUCAAAACCGUUCAACUUAGAAAAACCAUUCAAACACCGUUAGAUUCCUAUUCUUUUGGACAACACUGCUUCUAUUUUUCAUAUUUUUAACAUUUAUAUUUUUAAUUUUAUUCAACUUUAUUCAACAAAAAUUUAUAAUGUAUUUCAAUGGGGAGACCCUUCAAAUCCUCAUUCAACUUACUCAUUUUUAAACUCUUACUACUUCCACAUACAUUGACAUAGAGCCACCAUUCAAACUUUAAAACGAAGACAAGACAUUCAACUAUUCAACUUGUAUUUAUCUUUUCAAUAUCUAUUAUACUUUUUCUUCAGUUCCAGUUUAAGUUUCAUGAUGUUUUUUCACCCGUUUCAGAGUUUAUAAUGGGUGUGUAUGGGACGGAAUGUUGGGGCUAGAGUGAGGCAGCUCAAC